CCAUAGUUAAUUCAUUUACUGUCAUAUUUCAGAUUUCUGGGAAAAUGCAUACAUUUUACUUCAAAACAUCCUUACCUUAAUAUUUGACUUAGAAGCUAGUUUUAUUUCCUGUUGAGGUAGGAGUUCUUUGAAAAUAUUAAUCUAGAAUUUCAUAUGUUUUCCGUUUUGCCUGAAUUGUGCUUGGGUUUAUUUAAUAUUUUCAGUUUGGUUUUAGCUAGAGCUGCAUGUCAUAGGCUUGUCUCUAGAGGGCAGUACAGUACCAUCAAAGAAACACAUGGCCUUUUCUGCUAGUAACGCACAAUUGGUGUUUCUAUUUCUAUAAAGAUGACCUUCAUUUGUCGAUGAUAAUGUCUUCUCUUUUCAUUAUUUCCCCUUUUGACCCACUCUUGAGACAUUUGAUCACUAAUUAUAUCCAGCAUCAAAGUGAAGUUUGUAAAACAUCAAAGUAGCUACACGGUGCUGGAUCAGGUCCUGGGUACUACAACAUCUUAGUAGCCAUUACAUUUUAUAUUUUUAUGAUAACAAUAAACGUAGCCUAGAAUAUUAAGAAUUCCUGGUCUUGGACCCACACAUUAUUGGGGCACCUAGUAUAGAAACUGAGUUCUGAAUAGCACUUUAAAUUAACACCGUACAUCUAAAUAUUAACAGUCCCCAGGUAGCAUUUAUUGUUACUUCUCAAUUAAUACACUUUAUUUUACCCUGAGCAUUAUGAUGUUUUGCUAUUAUUGGCAGGUUCAAGAAGAUGCUAGGAACUUGCCAUCCCUUUCCUCCGUCAAGCCGUUUAAACCUCCUGAAAUGCACCUGUGACCCUUUGCUUCUGUUGGGGCUGGAGGAAGCUGAAAAGAUGCAGUUUUAUCUUCAAAGGAAAGGUAAGAUGAUUUUUAAAAAAAUCUUGGUUACUGUCUUAUGUAACUUGAGGGUGAUCAGUGAGGCUUUGGCCUAG
rnacentral:lncRNA from 1 species